UCAGGUGUUCAUAAAGCAAUUCGGUGAGUCCAUAUAUUACUCAGUGCUCAUCAAGUGCCUGGCAUAGAGCAGCUAUUUAAGAAAUAUUUACUGAACUGACAGAGGGCUGAAGGAGUGCCCCUUUACCUUCGUCGGUCCUGAGGAGGGCUUUUUCAGAAGACUUGCCUUGUCCAGGCACUUCAUUCUCACUAAGUUCUUCCAGUGCAUUGUCAAAUAGGAGUGAUGAGAGAAGACAUCUUUGACUUGUUCUUGAUCUUUGGAGGAAGGCAUUCAGUCUCUUACCAUUAAGUACGUUAACUUGACUGCAUUUCUUGGAGAAAACUUGGUGAGCAAGCAUCUGCCCCACUGCACAUCAAGGACGUUCCAGACUUUGACCCAGUUUAUACCCUCAGGGCAGCACGUGCAGGCUCUUCUUGCUUUUCUUAGAACCAACGUUGGAAUCAAGAACUGGCUCUUGAAUUACUCCCAGCUGCCCGUAUUCACCCUCCCCUGAUCUGUGCUUCCCUAGUUAUGCUUUACCAUGAAAUACUGUUUGGACUGGUUUCAUAGAAACACGUUGAUUCUUCCCUCGAUGACGAAUUCAUCCAUUGUGUCAAUUUCCCCCCAAGUCAAGUGGCAUCAAUACUGCCUCCAGGAAGCCUUUGGAGCUUCCAAAGGCCCAAUCCAGGCAGUGUGUGGUCACAGUGUCUGUCUUCCUCAGUUAGCUGUGUCUGUUAAAGCUUCUCAGCUUGUGGUGAUGACUCCAGCAUCAGCUACCAGGCCUUAAGGCUGCAAGAAUGGGCAGGAGGCUGCUAGGCCUUCCUGGUUGGCCUUCCAAAGCCAGGCUCUGGA